GAUGAACGCUGGCGGCGUGCUUAACACAUGCAAGUCGAACGAAGCAUUUAGGACAGAUUACUUCGGUUUGAAGUUCUUUAUGACUGAGUGGCGGACGGGUGAGUAACGCGUGGGUAACCUGCCUUGUACUGGGGGAUAGCAGCUGGAAACGGCUGGUAAUACCGCAUAAGCGCACAAUGUUGCAUGACAUGGUGCGAAAAACUCCGGUGGUAUAAGAUGGACCCGCGUCUGAUUAGCUAGUUGGUGAGAUAACAGCCCACCAAGGCGACGAUCAGUAGCCGACCUGAGAGGGUGACCGGCCACAUUGGGACUGAGACACGGCCCAGACUCCUACGGGAGGCAGCAGUGGGGAAUAUUGCACAAUGGAGGAAACUCUGAUGCAGCGACGCCGCGUGAGUGAAGAAGUAAUUCGUUAUGUAAAGCUCUAUCAGCAGGGAAGAUAGUGACGGUACCUGACGAAGAAGCCCCGGCUAAAUACGUG
rnacentral:rRNA from 1 species